rnacentral:snRNA from 1 species
GUGCUCACUUCCGCAGCACGUAUAUUAAAAUUGGAAUGAUACAGAGAAGGUUAGCAUGGACCCCGCGUAAAGAUGACACGCAAAUUUGUGAAGUAUUCCAUGAAAAC